ensembl:lncRNA novel transcript
GUGGGCAGAUCUGAGCUUUCUUCUUGGACACCCCAUACCCACAGUCCUCCAGGCCACCCUUAAGUACAAUGUUCUCCUACCUAAGAAGGCAUCUGGAUUUUCUCUUUCCUUGGAAAUAGUAAAGAACUACUCUUUGACUGUUUUUGACCUCACAGUGAACCUCAAAGUCUUACUUUGUCACCCAGGCUGCAGUACAGUGGCACAGUGGCACAAUCUCAGCUCACUGCAACUUCCAGCUCCUGGGUUCAAAGGAUUCUUACGGCUCAGCCUCCUGAGUAGCUGGGAUUAGAGGCGUGCACCACCACAUCUGGCUAAUUUUUCUAUUUUUAGUAGAGUCAGAGUUUUGCCAUAUUGGCCAGGCUGGUCUUGAACUCUGACCCUCAAGUGAUCCACCCACCUUGGCCUCCAGAAGUGCUGGGAUUACAGGUGUGAGCAACCACGCCCUGAUGAACUAUGGAACUCUUAACUUCAUACCCCAAUAGUCUUAUCCAGAAGCAGGAAACUGAGCUAGAAGUUCUCCUGGGGACACAUCUACUCUAUAAUUAUGCUCAUAUACCACCUUUUAAGCAAAGAUGUCCUCUAAGUGUUACGCAACUCUAACACUAACCUAAGUAUAUGUAAAAGAUUUAGAAGCUCUGUUUAUCAGUUCAAACUUUGAGACUGCAGAUACACUGGAAUUCGCAAUAAAUCCAGUAUGGUGGUUAUAGAUGUAAAAAUGCUAUCAGGAUUUACUCCAACCAUGUCAUCCAUUGAAGAGCUUGAAAACAAGGGCCAAGUGAUGAAGACUGAAGUCAAGAAUGACCAUGUUCUUUUCUACUUGGAAAAUGUUUUUGGUCGAGCAGACAGUUUCACUUUUUCUGCUGAGCAGAGCAACCUUGUGUUCAACAUUCAGCCAGCCCCAGGCAUGGUCUACGAUUAGUACGAAAAAGAAGAAUAUGCCCUAGCUUUUUACCACAUCAACAGUAGUUCAGUUUCCGAGUGAGACAAAGCAAUUACUGGAAGAAGUAAAGAAAUUUUAUUACGUCAUAAACCAUUGAAAACACAUCUAGUAAGAAAAUGAAAACCUGAAUAAGAUAGGACAAUAGUUGAAGAAAGAAAAGUCUCUGGUGGAGAAGCAUUUCUUUUAACAAACUGAUUCUUCUGUAUCAAACCUGGAAAAAAAUCAUGAACCAUCUGACAUCGUGAACAGUCUGCAGUGGGCUAUGGUUUCUUGACAAGUCUUAUUUCCUUAUCAUCCCAUUAAAUGUUGUCAUUUUGCAUCUGA